rnacentral:lncRNA from 1 species
CCCCCCCUGGUCCUCCAGCAGCGCCAGCACCACAGAUGUACCACUCUGCAGAUCCUUCUGCUGGUGGCUACAACUCGCAGCCCUACAUGGGAGGACAUCCACCACCACCAGCUCCUCCAGGUAGCUAUGCUCCAGUUCCUUGGGGACAACCACCACCUUAUGCUUCGUACCCUCCGCCGCCACCACCAGGCAUGUACAAUCCUGCACCUGGCCAAACUGCUCCACAUUCAUAUGGUAUGCAAUACCCACCACCACCAGCUCCAGUACCUCCACCAGGCACUACGUCAAAUGAUGGUGCACAGAACUACCCUCCGGGUGUAACACCACCAAGUUCUGGUGCACCUACCCAGCCUGUCCCUGCUCCAGCAUAUGGGACCUCUGGUGCGCAAAACAUGCCACAUAUGUACCCUCCACCACCUUAUGGUUAUGCCCCAUAUUAUCCAUCUGUCACACCAGUCCAGCCGCCUCCACCACCACCACCACCAGCUAGUGUUGAUCCUUCACAAAGCAUUGCAACUGCACCUUGGGCCACUCACAACGCACCUCCUCCACCGCCACCGCCGGCUAGUGUUGAUUCCUCGCAGAGCGUUGCAACGGCACCUUGGGCUACCCACAAUGCACCGCCGCCACCACCUUUGCCAUCCUCCAACGACCAGCCCACUCCUCCCUAUGGUGCUGAUGCAGAGUAUGAUAAAUUUAUGUCGGAGAUGAAGUGAUAUGAGCGAAGCUG